GACGAACGCUGGCGGCGUGCCUAAUACAUGCAAGUUGAGCGAUGAAGAUUGGUGCUUGCACCAAUUUGAAGAGCAGCGAACGGGUGAGUAACGCGUGGGGAAUCUGCCUUUGAGCGGGGGACAACAUUUGGAAACGAAUGCUAAUACCGCAUAACAACUUUAAACAUAAGUUUUAAGUUUGAAAGAUGCAAUUGCAUCACUCAAAGAUGAACCCGCGUUGUAUUAGCUAGUUGGUGAGGUAAAGGCUCACCAAGGCGAUGAUACAUAGCCGACCUGAGAGGGUGAUCGGCCACAUUGGGACUGAGACACGGCCCAAACUCCUACGGGAGGCAGCAGUAGGGAAUCUUCGGCAAUGGACGAAAGUCUGACCGAGCAACGCCGCGUGAGUGAAGAAGGUUUUCGGAUCGUAAAACUCUGUUGGUAGAGAAGAACGUUGGUGAGAGUGGAAAGCUCAUCAAGUGACGGUAACUACCCAGAAAGGGACGGCUAACUACGUG
rnacentral:rRNA from 1 species